rnacentral:lncRNA from 1 species
AUGAAAACCACCAGUUGUAGAAAAUCUGCACAAACCAAUGCCCUACAGGGAAAAGGAGAAGAAUUUGGGCAAGCUGAAAGGUCAGCGUCCUGCCACAGGCAAGGCACCGUGAGAGGGAACAGGGCACAGGGAUGCCACUGUGGGGGGGCUAGGUGGCAAGAUGGCCGCUGGGGGGAGACAAAAUGGCGGCUGGGGGGAGACAAAAUGGCGGCUGCGGGGGGCAGGAUGGCAGCUGAGGGGGACAAAAUGGUGGUUGUGGGGGGGGCAAGAUGGCGGCUGGAGGGGACAAAAUGGCGGCUGGGGCAGCAAAAUGGCAGCUGCAGAAGGCAAGAUGGCGGCUGGGAGGGGCAAAAUGGCUCUGGGUUUGUAGUGCCUCCUGGGCAUGGCUGCUGUGGCUGUCACAUACACAAGGCCAACCCAGGGAUUUCAAAUGGAUUUUGCAUGAACACAUGUUUUCAUACGGAUACAAAGCACCAAGCAAUGCCCCAAGCAAAGUUCACCAUGUUAAAAGGAAACUGCGGUUUCAGAGGGUUUUCAGCAUCCUCCAGCAACAGUAACUUACAAAACCAAUUCUUCAUCUGCCACCAAAACACCAAAGGAAAGAGGAUGUGGCACCAGCCCAAAUGA